CCUACGGGAGGCAGCAGUAGGGAAUCUUCCGCAAUGGACGAAAGUCUGACGGAGCAACGCCGCGUGAACGAUGAAGGCCUUCGGGUCGUAAAGUUCUGUUGUUAGGGAAGAACAAGUGCUAGUUAAAUAAGCUGGCACCUUGACGGUACCUAACCAGAAAGCCACGGCUAACUACGUGCCAGCAGCCGCGGUAAUACGUAGGUGGCAAGCGUUGUCCGGAAUUAUUGGGCGUAAAGCGCGCGCAGGCGGUUUCUUAAGUCUGAUGUGAAAGCCCCCGGCUCAACCGGGGAGGGUCAUUGGAAACUGGGAAACUUGAGUGCAGAAGAGGAAAGUGGAAUUCCAAGUGUAGCGGUGAAAUGCGUAGAGAUUUGGAGGAACACCAGUGGCGAAGGCGACUUUCUGGUCUGUAACUGACGCUGAGGCGCGAAAGCGUGGGGAGCAAACAGGAUUAGAUACCCUGGUAGUCCACGCUGUAAACGAUGAGUGCUAAGUGUUAGAGGGUUUCCGCCCUUUAGUACUGAAGUUAACGCAUUAAGCAUCCGCCUGGGGGAGGUAGGUCGCGAAGACGAGAAACGACAAAGGAAAGUUAGUUAGGCGUGAGAGUGCCGACGGACGACGACGAGGGAGGAGG
rnacentral:rRNA from 1 species